AGCCUGCUGGCGAAAUGGUAUCGCGUCAGAUUUCGGUAAACCGAAGUUACACAAACUCUGAAGAUUGUCGGUUCGAAUCCGGCGUAGGUUG